AGACGAAGUGUUUUACUCUUGUCACCGAGGCUGGAGUGCAAUGGCGCAGUCUUGGCUCACUGCAACCUCCGCCUCCCAGGUUCAAGCGAUUCUCUUAGCCUCCCGAGUAGCUGGGAUUACAGGCGCCUACCACCACACCCAGCUAAUUUUUGUAUUUUUUUUAGUAGAGAUGGGGUUUCACCAUGUUGGCCAGGCUGGUCUUGAACUCCUGACCUCAGGUGAUCUGCCCACCUUGGACUCCCAGAGUGCUGGGAUUACAGGCAUGAGCCACCGCGCCCCACCAGAUUUCCUUUUUAAACAAUGAAUUUUUAUUUUUUAUUUUUUUGGAGACAGGGUCUCUCUAUGUUGCUCAUGCUGGUCUCAAAUUCCUAAACUCCUGGGAUGGAGCAGUCCUCCUACCUCAGCCUCCCAAAGUGUUGAGAUUACAGGUAUGAGGUAUGAGCCACUGAGCCUGACAUGAAUUUAAAAAAGCAAAAAGAAGAAAAUGACAUAGUAGAUGGGAGACUU
rnacentral:lncRNA from 1 species